rnacentral:misc_RNA from 1 species
AAGUCGUAACAAGGUCUCCGUAGGUGAACCUGCGGAGGGAUCAUUAACACGUAUCCAACACGUUUAAAACCAAAACCGCGAACCUCUUUUUGCCUGUAUCGGAAGGUGUAUAUGUAAGCCACAAGAUAGAUUCGGGGAACUUUCGGGUUCUUCGUCUACUUACAGUACUAUGGUCUCUUUGAGGACCGAACCGAUUCGAUAUAGUGUAUGAAAGCUAUCUUGGUUAUCUGUGCCAACCCGGUAUCGACCCGGAGCCUGGUAACCUUAUUAAUCCUUAUUUUAACCCCUUUAUUAACAAUUAUACUGAUUUUACCUCUUUUUCACUUACCAGUGAGAAAGAAGUAUACGAAACGCGAACAACUCUUAGCAACGGAUAUCUUGGUUCUC